UUUUUUUCCGAUCCAAAUGCG
ensembl:piRNA 21ur-13747 ncRNA